UACAGAGGGUGCGAGCGUUAAUCGGAAUUACUGGGCGUAAAGCGUGCGCAGGCGGUGAUGUAAGACCGAUGUGAAAUCCCCCGGGCUUAACCUGGGAACUGCAUUUGUGACUGGCGGGCUAGAGUAUGGCAGAGGGGGGGUAGAAUUCCACGUGUAGCAGUGAAAUGCGUUGAUAUCAGGAGGAACACCGAUGGCGAAGGCAGCAAACUGGGCAUUAACUGACGCUGAGGCGCGAAAGCGUGGGUAGCAAACAGG
rnacentral:rRNA from 1 species